rnacentral:rRNA from 18 species
GACUGGCGGACGGGUGAGUAACGCGUAGCUAACCUGCCUUUAACUGGGGGAUAACAUUCCGAAAGGGGUGCUAAUACCGCAUAAAGCAACUAGGUCGCAUGACCUUGGUUGUUAAAAAUUUCGAUUGGUUAAAGAGGGGGCUGCGUGCUAUUAGUUAGUUGGUGAGGUAACGGCUCACCAAGGCGAUGAUAGCUAGGGGGUCUGAGAGGAUGAUCCCCCACACUGGGACUGAGACACGGCCCAGACUCCUACGGG